rnacentral:rRNA from 1 species
GAUGAACGCUGGCGGCGUGCCUAAUACAUGCAAGUCGAGCGAACGGACGAGAAGCUUGCUUCUCUGAUGUUAGCGGCGGACAGGUGAGUAACACGUGGAUAACCUACCUAUAAGACUGGGAUAACUUCGGGAAACCGGAGCUAAUACCGGAUAAUAUUUUGAACCGCAUGGUUCAAAAGUGAAAGACGGUCUUGCUGUCACUUAUAGAUGGAUCCGCGCUGCAUUAGCUAGUUGGUAAGGUAACGUCUUACCAAGGCAACGAUGCAUAGCCGACCUGAGAGGGUGAUCGGCCACACUGGAACUGAGACACGGUCCAGACUCCUACGGGAGGCAGCAGUAGGGAAUCUUCCGCAAUGGGCGAAAGCCUGACGGAGCAACGCCGCGUGAGUGAUGAAGGUCUUCGGAUCGUAAAACUCUGUUAUUAGGGAAGAACAUAUGUGUAAGUAACUGUGCACAUCUUGACGGUACCUAAUCAGAAAGCCACGGCUAACUACGUG